GAAAGUUGCUGGGGGGAGGGGGUCAGUACGAUCGGGUUGCUCGGCGGGUGACGAGGAAACCGGUGGAAAUCCGGUGCGGUCGCGCCACUGUGAACAGCCAGACCCUCUCCGGCGAGCACCACC
rnacentral:ncRNA from 2 species